rnacentral:tRNA from 1 species
UGCGCGCUUCAGCCCGAAGGUCGAACAGGCGGGUUUCUACCUCGUCCAGCCGCGCCGGAUCGAAGCUCAGCGCCUCAAGCGCGCGA